GGGACACGUGAUAUCCUGUCUGAAUAUGGGGGGACCAUCCUCCAAGGCUAAAUACUCCUGACUGACCGAUAGUGAACCAGUACCGUGAGGGAAAGGCGAAAAGAACCCCUGUGAGGGGAGUGAAAUAGAACCUGAAACCGUGUACGUACAAGCAGUAGGAGCACCUUCGUGGUGUGACUGCGUACCUUUUGUAUAAUGGGUCAGCGACUUAUAUUCAGUGGCAAGGUUAACCGUAUAGGGGAGCCGUAGCGAAAGCGAGUCUUAACUGGGCGCUCAGUCUCUGGAUAUAGACCCGAAACCGGGUGAUCUAGCCAUGGGCAGGUUGAAGGUUGAGUAACAUCAACUGGAGGACCGAACCGACUAAUGUUGAAAAAUUAGCGGAUGACUUGUGGCUAGGGGUGAAAGGCCAAUCAAACUCGGAGAUAGCUGGUUCUCCCCGAAAGCUAUUUAGGUAGCGCCUCGGACGAAUACUACUGGGGGUAGAGCACUGUUAAGGCUAGGGGGUCAUCCCGACUUACCAACCCUUUGCAAACUCCGAAUACCAGUAAGUACUAUCCGGGAGACACACGGCGGGUGCUAACGUCCGUCGUGGAGAGGGAAACAACCCAGACCGCCAGCUAAGGUCCCAAAGUAUUGCUAAGUGGGAAACGAUGUGGGAAGGCUCAGACAGCUAGGAUGUUGGCUUAGAAGCAGCCAUCAUUUAAAGAAAGCGUAAUAGCUCACUAGUCGAGUCGGCCUGCGCGGAAGAUGUAACGGGGCUAAGCAAUACACCGAAGCUGCGGCAAUGUCUUUUAGACAUUGGGUAGGGGAGCGUUCUGUAAGCCGUUGAAGGUGAAUCGUAAGGUUUGCUGGAGGUAUCAGAAGUGCGAAUGCUGACAUGAGUAACGACAAAGGGGGUGAAAAACCUCCUCGCCGGAAGACCAAGGGUUCCUGUCCAACGUUAAUCGGGGCAGGGUGAGUCGACCCCUAAGGUGAGGCCGAAAGGCGUAAUCGAUGGGAAACGGGUUAAUAUUCCCGUACUUCUGACUAUUGCGAUGGGGGGACGGAGAAGGCUAGGUGGGCCAGGCGACGGUUGUCCUGGUUCAAGUGCGUAGGCUUGAGAGUUAGGUAAAUCCGGCUCUCUCUAAGGCUGAGACACGACGUCGAGCUACUACGGUAGUGAAGUCAUUGAUGCCAUGCUUCCAGGAAAAGCCUCUAAGCUUCAGAUAGUCAGGAAUCGUACCCCAAACCGACACAGGUGGUCGGGUAGAGAAUACCAAGGCGCUUGAGAGAACUCGGGUGAAGGAACUAGGCAAAAUGGUACCGUAACUUCGGGAGAAGGUACGCUCUUGAUGGUGAAGUCCCUCGCGGAUGGAGCUGACGAGAGUCGCAGAUACCAGGUGGCUGCAACUGUUUAUUAAAAACACAGCACUGUGCAAAAUCGCAAGAUGACGUAUACGGUGUGACGCCUGCCCGGUGCCGGAAGGUUAAUUGAUGGGGUUAGCGCAAGCGAAGCUCUUGAUCGAAGCCCCGGUAAACGGCGGCCGUAACUAUAACGGUCCUAAGGUAGCGAAAUUCCUUGUCGGGUAAGUUCCGACCUGCACGAAUGGCGUAAUGAUGGCCACGCUGUCUCCACCCGAGACUCAGUGAAAUUGAAAUCGCUGUGAAGAUGCAGUGUACCCGCGGCUAGACGGAAAGACCCCGUGAACCUUUACUACAGCUUGGCACUGAACAUUGAACCUACAUGUGUAGGAUAGGUGGGAGGCUAUGAAGACGUGACGCCAGUUGCGUUGGAGCCGUCCUUGAAAUACCACCCUUGUAUGU
rnacentral:rRNA from 1 species